ACUCCAAAACUUAGUAGCUUAUGGCAACAAGUGAGUCUAGGUUGGCUGGGCUUGGCUGGGCUUGGCUCCAGUCUGCAGGCUGAAUGCAUGUCGGCUUCUCAUUUCUAGGACCAGGCUAAAGGAACAGACACCACUUCAGACGUGGUUCUCAAGGAGAGUUGGAGCUCAAGUGGGGACAAGGCCCUUGCUUGCCACAUCACGUAAAAAUCUUACGUGUCUUUAAUGCACUUCACGUCCAGGAACCUCAGCUUCAAAGAAAACCAAACGCUCAUGCUUCAUUUAAUUCCCCUUAUUCGGUCUUCCAAAGAGGUGGAGAAUAGCUGGUGCUCACUGUCCCAGACACUGAGAUGGCAUUUCAAGAUUUUCUCUGCAAUCUGGUCUCUGAACAGACUUGAGCCUUUGUCUGCUGGUUCCCAACCCUGGUUACACAUCAGAACCAUGUGCUCCAGGACCUCACCUCUUGGAGUCUGAGGUUGAGCCCAGGAAACUCUAUGUCUCCAUAUUUCCAUCCAGACACCCUCUCUCUUCAUGAAACCCUUGUAAAUGUCUUACUCAUUCUUUAGACAUGGCUUAAACCUCAGCUCCUCCAAGAAGUCUUCCAAGAUUCACCAGAUGAAAUGUAUGGCCCAUUUCUCCUACAUCCCCCACAGAACCGUGUUUGAACUUUACAGCUUAGACUUAUUUCUAUGACUCGCUCCACUAUGCAUUCCCGUCUCUAUAUCCCUAACACCUGCCAAGAAAGUGCUAAAAAUUUUUGUUGAAUCAAUCAGUCCAUAAUAGAAGAAAUGAUGUAAAAUACAGUUUUGUAAAUGAUGUUAUACCAUACUAAUUGAGAUAUGUGAACAAUCAUGAAGAAGAAGAAUUAAUGACAUUCGGGGGGAAUUAAAACUGAUUCCAAGCUUCA
rnacentral:lncRNA from 1 species